rnacentral:tRNA from 1 species
GCCUAAAUAGCUCAGUCGGUUAGAGCACCUGACUGUUAAUCAGGGGGUCGUAGGUUCGAGUCCUACUUUGGGCGCCA